AACGAACGCUGGCGGCGUGGAUUAGGCAUGCAAGUCGAACGAGAAAGCACCCUUCGGGGUGCAAGUACAGUGGCGGACUGGUGAGUAACGCGUGGGAAACCUGCCUUCGAGUGGGGGAUAACAGUUCUAACGGACUGCUAAUACCGCAUAACGCUGCUGUUCGCAUGUUCAACAGUUAAAGAUGGCCUCUACAUGUAAGCUGUCGCUUGAUGAUGGUCCCGCGCCUAUUAGCUAGUUGGUGAGGUAACGGCUCACCAAGGCAACAAUGGGGUAGCCGGCCUGAGAGGGUGGUCGGCCACACUGGGACUGAGAUACGGCCCAGACUCCUACGGGAGGCAGCAGUGAGGAAUCUUGCGCAAUGGGCGAAAGCCUGACGCAGCGACGCCGCGUGGAGGAUGAAGGUCUUCGGAUUGUAAACUCCUGUCGAGCGGGACGAAUGCCGUGGAGGGUGAACAAUCC
rnacentral:rRNA from 1 species